AGUGAACGCUGGCGGUAGGCCUAACACAUGCAAGUCGAACGGCAGCACAGUAAGUGCUUGCUCUUACGGGUGGCGAGUGUCGGACGGGUGCUGAAUACACCGGAAUCUACUUUUUCGUGGUGGCUAACGCAGGGAAACUUACGCUAAUACCGCAUACGACCUACGGGUUAAAGCAGCGGAUCUUCGGAGCGUGCGCGAUUGAAUGAGAGCGAGUCUGAUUAGCUAGUUGGCGGGGUAAAGGCCCACCAAGGCAGCGAUCAGGAGCUGGUCUGAGAGGAUGAGCAGCCACACUGGGACUGAGACACGGCCCAGACUCCUACGGGAGGCAGCAGUGGGGAAGUUUCCGCAAUGGGCGAAAGCCUGACGGAGCAAUACCGCGUGAGGGAAGAAGGCUCUUGGGGUGUAAACCUAUUUUCUUAGGGAAGAACAAAAUGACGGUACCUAAGGAAUCAGCAUCGGCUAACUCCGUG
rnacentral:rRNA from 1 species